CCUAAUUGGCCAGACUAUUCUAUUUCCAUAAACUUCUGUUACAUGAAAGUAAUUCUCCUGUAUAACCCGUAGUUCAAAACAACAGAUGGAUAUGAGUAUGAACCAUUCAAUCGAAUUCUUAAACUACAAAUCAUCCAGAUGUAUACUAUAAGUUAGAUAUACGAAAAAUAGACGACCAAUAUGUGUAGUAUUCAUACAAAUAUAAGAAUAAAAUAGCAACGUAUGCUUGUAUUUAUAUCAAGCACCACAUAAUCUAAUUCAACAUUUUUUUUCCAGUUACAUUCUGAGUAUGUAUAUGUUAAUCAUUGUAGAUAGAAACAUACCUAAAGGCUCAAAGGAUUCAACCAGAAAUGAGCAUGAGGCAAAGUCUCUGAUCCCACCAAGGAACAUCAGAAUAUACAUGAACGUUUUCUCCUAUUCAAUAAUGAGACCUAUAAGGAGAAACCAGCCAAGAUGAUAUCAUUGGCCUCUAAUUAAUACGCAAAAAUAAUUGUGGACAACUUCAAAAUUUCCAAGAUUAGUAGCAGCUUACAAUAAUUUCAUUUAAUUUUUGUUUUAUAGAUAAAACAUCAGCUUAUAAUUUAAGAAAUAGGAAAAGGUCAGAUAGGAAAGAACUGAUGAAGCUUACGUCAACAGGGUUGUAGCAAAUUAGACCAUCAAUAUAUACGAAGAGUUCAAAAUAUUCUGAAAAGAGGAUUAAAUCAUCAUAUGUAAUGACCACCUCCAGAUACCAUGGAAUGAUUUGAAAUAAUGCAUUGGGAAUUAUUAUUUAAUUAAUAGCAUCUAAAUGAAGUGUUAUUUCAUGUACAUUAUACAUCUAUAUGUGUUUAAAUACACGCUGUUUGUUCAAUAAAUUUACUUUCUCGUUUAAUAUUCUUAUUGUUAUACUCUACUUCUACAUAUAAGGUUAUUUGUAUUCUAAAAUUACUUUCUGAAUUUCCUAUAUUAGAAUUCCAGCUGUCUGGUUUUCUAUUUAGACCGCCAAACCCCAAAUUCCUCUUCUAAUUUUAACUCUACUAGUUACCAAGCAGUAAUAUCUAUUUCUUCAGAAACCUUAACCAUACUAAUUUACCAAAAUCUUGAUCUACAAAGAAGCUAAGAAUAUAGAGGUAGGUGCUGAACUGGCAACCAGAAUAUAAACAAAAGAAGGCAAACUUUUUUAAACCACCCAAUAUUGGCUGUAAUCAAAUCCAGCGCAGUGCUCUACCGCGAGUAUGUCUGUGCUUUCUUGCCAACAAGUGGGGGUUAAAAGCUUUUUACAUCACUAAACUGGGGUUCGACUUACAAUUGCAUCAUUGAACUCAAUUUUUUACAGUAAACUCAUUGAGCUACAAUUAUUUUACAAAAUACUGAUAAAACAGUUUAUCUUUGUUAUGUUUUAACAGAAGAAUGACGUUGCAUGGUGAGGUGUCUAAUUAAAGUAUACAAAUCAGAUGAUAAUUUUGUCCCAAUUUAGGUGACAAGAUGAUUCUGUUAAAACCCAUCCAAAACCCAUGACCCAUACAGUAUCUGGUUUCAUAUUUAUCUCCGGUCUCCCCCUUCCAAUCUCUCUCCGACCUACACUUCACCUCCAGAAAACAUGAAGCUCUAAUUGCUCAAAGAACCAUUUCUAAUUAUAGAAGGCAUCUCUAAAAAGAAGAAGACGAUCUUAUCUCUAAUUGUCAUGUCUCUCCAUAUCUUCUUCUGACUUCUACCUUUGUUAUUCUUCUCCAAUGUUCAAUGAAACCAAAAUUAGUCACAAGAUUAAGAUAUGUAAAAUAUGAUUUUUACCAUUUUUAACCUGCCUCAUAUGCUUAAAGAAUUACACUCUUCUGCUUUCUCAUUCCUAAAACCCAAUUAAUUUCGUAAUUAGAGAAAUAAUUGAAAAACUAACCUAGACUCAUUUUGGAUAGUAAUUUAAUAAAAUAACUUACAAAGUCUUUUUCUCUUAUAAUCCCAAUUUCUCACUCCUGGGUCUCACUCUUUCUCAAAAUUAGUCUCCAUUACUUUCGGCCAAGAAUCGCAUUCAUUUUGCCGAAUCGCUCCAAACCCAAACCGAUAUAUAUUAUGUAUAUAGUAUAUAUAGAUUCUGGAAGAAAAUCAAACAAAAAGAAGAAGCUUUAGAGAAUAGGGAGGAAAAGUUAGGCCACCGUCUCUCUACAAUCACCCAACUCCCUCUAACAGUUGGAGCUUGGGAUUUUCUAAGCUUGGCCAUUGUGGUGAAGACAAUGGUGGCUAUUGGUAGUGGUGACAGUGGUGGACCGGUGGUAGUGGUGAUACCAGUGGUGGUUGGUGGUAGUGGUGACAGUUUCGACAAAGUAAUUCCACUAAGGCAUGUCACAUGGAUGAACAUAAUAAAAAUAAGGUUCCUUUUCCUCACAUGCGGAUCACGUGUAAUGCUGCUGUUUAAAGUCAACAAUUUCAACGGAUUUUGUAAAGUUUUGUAAAAAAAUCAAGUUUAGUUAGACGAAUGUUAAAAAAAUGAGUUUAAUGAUGCAAUUGUAAUUUGGACCCCAUUUUAGUGAGAUGAAAACAACGUUUAGCCCCCAACAAGUGUCCCGCUUGUAAAUUAAAGUCAUUAUUUAUGUAUUUGCAUCGAUUCUACUAGGGCAAUUCACUAAUCAAAAGUGCAUAAGAACUCCCAUCAGAAGAAUGAUAAAGACAUUAUGGAAUGAUAUUCAAUUAACAGGAACUAAAUAACAAUUUUAGAAGAGAAGCAAGGAAUUUAUCACCUAAAGCUGCCACAAAGGGUUCACAUCCAACAUACGCAAGGACUUCAAAAACAGCCCGUCAUAAAAAGGGUACUAAAUAAUCAGCAAUAUUGAAUCCUACUCCCACACAUUAUAAGAGCUACCCAAUGAAUUUUUGGACUGGAGAGAGGAUAUCAUGACGCACAUAGAAAUUAGGUUAUAAUAAGUAGAUGUUGGACACUAUUAUGAAUUACAGACAAGGAAACAACCAACUCACCACCACUCCCUAUUUUCAUAUAAUAACGGAACGAUGCAUACUUCAAAAUGGAGCACCCAUAAUCAUAUUCGAACCUCUGAGUCCUGUCAGAAAUAACUUGACUUAAGUUGCUAGAUCAAGUGCUACAAUGAUAAUUUAACUGAAAACAAGACAUCAUAUAUGUCUAGCUAAAGCUUAUAAUUUUUUUAAAUUAGUCAAGCAUUAGACAUAUCAUAUAGGGGUGACAGUGACCUAAAUUAAGAAAAUUGAUUUGGAUAGCCAUUUUUAGAUACGAUAUCUAAUUCGCAAUGGCAAACAAUUAAGGUAUGCAUAUCCGUCUCUUCGACACUUCUAUGGACAUGAAUCAAAAUUAAACAAGAUACACAUGCCUCUUAAGGUAUCGCUAUAUUCUCAGCUUUGUAUGAUUAUUUCAUCCUGUAUGCGAAAUUUAUUUCAUCCUUUAUGUGUUACUCCAUUAUGUGAGUUUAUUGUAAUUGUGAUUGCAUAUGAUAAGUUGAUAACAUUAUAAGCUUUCUAAGAGACAGGCACUGCUAUACAUAUCACAUUCGGUGAAUGUGAAGGGUAUAAUGAUGUACUAAUCAUUAAAUGUUUACAAAUAUAUAGAUGUGUGACUUUACUCUUGGGGGAUUAAUUGUUCACUUAUAUCCCCCAUCGAAUUAGAAAAUUUCCAUUUCUUGUGAUAGAUGAAAGUUAACACACUUUUAAACUGAGUUUCAAUUACCAAACAUUUCGAUUCAUGUUAUAAUAUUGAACCAGAGCAUCAUAAAGGAGAAUACAUUUGUAUCUGCCAUAUCCACACAUGUAAAAGGAAAAUGAAAUUAAUAUGAAAACCUGAUUCAUUCUUCACAAGCAGAUCGCUUUCUAAUGAGCAUCGAUCUGAAAGGGAAAAAAAAUUCAUUUCACGCAAUUAGUACAAACUAUGAAAUAAGAAUGGAAUAAUCGCAAGGAAAAACAAGCAGAACCCUAGAAAACAUUUACAUUUCACAUAUGCACCUCACAAUUGAAUGAGCUGAUUCACGGUAGUGCAUUUCUUCAUUUCUAAUCGAACUACAGAUGCGAGAGAGUCUGAGAGAUCUAAAACCUGUUUUUCAAAUUGACAUUUUGGUACUUUUACAACAAAGCUUCUAGUUUCUAAAGUACUUUCUCAUUUUUAAUAGUCCAAUUGUGAAGCUAUCAAUAUACAUGAUAUUUAUAUUUCUUUAUAAAAUGAUAUCGAUAUCAUUUUGAGUCCUGCUCUAUAUAAAUU
rnacentral:lncRNA from 1 species